UCCCCUAGACUAGGAAGACAUCAAAAAGAAUCAAGCAAGGGACAGUCAGAGAUCAAAGACAGCUACAAGCUAGACACAUAGUACUGAGGUUCAGGCCAAGAUUAAAUAGGACUUUUUAAUCUACCCAGUUGCCAGCAUUCUGUGACUUUCUUUUGCAAUGUUUAGCAGCCUGGCAGUAGGUCACCCAGCUGGCAGGAUGUAUACAGGGUGAAGAAGCAGAGGAUGCUAGUGAACCUGUUUUGGAAAAACUGAAUGCUAAGGACAGCCAGCAACACAUCUUUUUUUAAAGCUGUGUGCUCGUCGGUUUGGGUGCAGGUUGUCCUCCGCAGACGUGGACAAACAGGUGGAGCUGAAGAGAGAGCUCAGGAGGAGGAGGGGGAGUGGGGGAGGC
rnacentral:lncRNA from 1 species